AACCUGGAAUCAGUGGGUUGUCUGAGGAAGAUGGAUUGGGCAGGAAAGAGGGAAAAGGGUUUGUCAGGAGCUGCUGAUUAAAACAGGAAGCUGACGUGAGCCAGGAUAUAGGGUGUAUUGUAUUUUAUAAGGUGAAUUUAUUCAAACUUGUGCCGCAUGCAUGCGGAAGAGGUCUAUAAGCCUAGCUCGGAGACACUCUUCCAUUUCCAGCUACUCGGAAACGGCAUAUUAAGGCAUUUUCACGUCAGAAUGGUUGCAUGUAACAUUGAUAUAAAAUAAAUUUCAAUGUCAGUUACUUACUACAAAACAGGAUGCCGUUCAGUUUCUGUCAACGUUCUGAGUCCUCGAAUUUCAACAGGACUGCCACUUCCAUACUAUCUUCAGAGCUUCUCUACCCCACCGUCAGCUCACAGCUGGGUCAGUGUCUUGUUGUUAUUGCAGCAAGUCCGUGAGGGUCUCCAAAAACGAACUUGACAUUUGGCGCAAGAGCAGGGUUCCAACAUGUACAGCAGUCUCACCUGGAGGGCUGAAUAAGUGAUCGUUCGAGUGUCAGUGGAGUCAGACAGAUGGGCCCGCAAGAUGUAUUCAGUAGGUGGAUAGAGGCUUUCCCAAAGACAAACAACAAAGCCUCAACACUAGUAAAACUGUUAUUAACUGAAAUAGUACCAAGGUUUGGAGUACCGCGACAAAUUAGUUCGGAAGACGGCUCUCACGUUGUGGGGAAAAUUAAUAAGGAACUGUGUGGUACAUUACACAUCCAACAACGAUUCCACUGUGCCUACCACCCUCGGGCAGCAGGGAUAGUAGAGAGAGCUAAUGCAACACUUAAAACCAAACUAACCAAGUUGACAUCCGAAACCGGCCUUAAUUGGUUAAAGGUUUUGCCACGAGCCUUGUAUCACAUGCGAAUAACACCCCACUCUACUACUGGGCUCUCAGCAGCGGAAAUAGUCUAUGACUGACCCAGCAGAACAACAUGGGAUGCCAAUACCAGCCCACCCAGCAAAACAGACCUAAAUGUGAUGGGAGAAGAAAUGCGAAGACACUUCUGACAACUAACAUCAUCUUGAAAGUUUCUCCAUUUGCCGGUGAAGUGCGCCUUCGGACCACCUCCGCAGACACCGGAACAAGGCCUCGAGAUUCAGGAUCGAUCAUCAUGGCCGCAGAUUGGAGAUUUUGUACUUGUCCGGGACUGGGGUCGCCCCAAGGUGGAAAGGACCGUACCAAGUGUUUCUUCAGACUCCGACAGCUCUUAAAGUUAAAGGACAGAAUCGCUGGAUCCACUUAAGUGACUCUAAAUGAUGGAUUUCCUCAUCGGCAUGCAGUUAACCAUUGGACUGAGUAUUAGUCUGACCAUGCAUGGCCAGCAGGACAAUUUUGUUUUAUAAAACACACAUACGGCUGCACGGGAAUCGGACAGCAUGUUACCCGUUGGCACGAUCUGUAGAAGCAUUAUUUGUGGCAACAUCUGCCUGGAACCCUAGUCAGCUUUAUGAAAUAGAGUAUUCCGGUAAGCCUUGCUGAAGGGAGAGGGGAUGUUGGACACAGGUGUGCAGGGUACAUGUGUGAAACUGGUAGUUAGUGGUCUCUCUGGUUGUGUGGACACUCGACCUGGGCAUGGGAAGGAAGGGGCUAGCUGUACAAAUCCCAACAGCUAUCUGUUUUGCUUUAAUGGAACUGGAACUUGUUGCGUGCCUGCUCUCGUUACUCAUCACCCCCAAAAUACUUCCUGGCCCCAUCGGUGCAUAAAGAGAAAUUGCACCACUAUAGGAGAAUUGUUGAAUUGCCCCUGCUUAGAAUCUAAGCCCAUAUCUGUGACCCCGGGCAUACAGUAGAGUUGUGGGGAUUGCAAUGGCACUCAUGUAGAAACAGACUAUGGGUCAUUUCCAUUUAACUCCGCAAGUUUCCAUCCACGUAAGGAUCAGUCCUCCUGGCACAGCUAUCAAGAAAUACGUGAGUCUGUUUGCCUUCUUAACGAGACCUUCACUGCUACCACUCCAACUCUGCCAGUGCUGUUUGCUGUUGGGACCAUUGAGCCCCUCACUGUCCCUUGUCCCCAACAAGUACAAAUUCAAUGGCGAAUUGUCACACGAUUCCUGAGCUGGGAGUUUUGCGCUGCAUGGCAGAAUCCAGUUGUGUUGGGCUCUUCCUUAGGAUAUGGUUUCCUGGGAACUGUCGGCUUGGGAUGCUCU